CUCAUUUCAGAAUUUUUGUUUCUUUUAAAAUUCAGUUCAAGUGCCUGGCGGUGGUGGUGCACACCUUUAAUCCCAGCACUCGGGAAGCAGAGGAAGAUGUAUUUCUUGAGCUUCCAUCUGGCUGACUGACACAUCCAGGCAUCGGCUACUGACUUCAAUCUGUGAGACAUGGACCUGCUGAAGGCUGAUGGUGGACCAAUCCAGCCAAAAACGUAAUUAUUUCCUGUCUCUACAGCUAGGUCAGACAACCACAUACUUCUGAUAAAUGCCUGGGUUCCCUCCUUACCUUUGACUAGCCAGGGUCCUGAACACCUGUGUCCCGUUUCAGCUUGAAGCAGUUAUGGAGAAGAAUGCAUCGUCUUAUGCUCCCUGCUCUCAGGACAGGCUAUAGGCCAAGUUAAAAGUGGAACCCCCGGCAUAGGGAACUGACUUGGCUACCUAAUGCUCAUUGAUAUACCAAGAAACUGGACCCAAUACUGCAAUAAGACAAGACACUUGACCUUCUUUAUGCAAAACAAAAAGGUAUUAAAUAA